rnacentral:rRNA from 1 species
GACGAACGCUGGCGGCGUGCUUAACACAUGCAAGUCGAACGGAAAGGCCCUGCUUUUGUGGGGUGCUCGAGUGGCGAACGGGUGAGUAACACGUGAGUAACCUGCCCUUGACUUUGGGAUAACUUCAGGAAACUGGGGCUAAUACCGGAUAGGAGCUCCUGCUGCAUGGUGGGGGUUGGAAAGUUUCGGCGGUUGGGGAUGGACUCGCGGCUUAUCAGCUUGUUGGUGGGGUAGUGGCUUACCAAGGCUUUGACGGGUAGCCGGCCUGAGAGGGUGACCGGCCACAUUGGGACUGAGAUACGGCCCAGACUCCUCAGGGAGGCAGCAGUGGGGAAUAUUGCAGAAUGGGCGGAAGCCUGAUGCAGCAACGCCGCGUGCGGGAUGACGGCCUUCGGGUUGUAAACCGCUUUCGCCUGUGACGAAGCGUGAGUGACGGUAAUGGGUAAAGAAGCACCGGCUAACUACGUG